rnacentral:rRNA from 1 species
AUUGAACGCUGGCGGCAGGCCUAACACAUGCAAGUCGAACGAGUGGCGGACGGGUGAGUACUGUCUGGGAAACUGCCCGAUGGAGGGGGAUAACGACUGGAAACGGUAGCUAAUACCGCAUACCAUCGGAUGUGCCCAGAUGGGCUUAGCUAGUAGGUGGGGUAACGGCUCACCUAGGCGACGAUCCCUAGCGGGUCUGCGAGGAUGACAAGCCACACUGGAACUGAGACACGGUCCAGACGCCUACGGGAGGCAGAAGUGGGGAAUAUUGCACAAUGGGGGCAAGCCUGAUGCAGCCAUGCCUCGUGUAUGAAGAAGGCCUUCGGGUUGUAAAGUACUUUCAGCGAGGAGGCGUUACUCGCAGAAUAAGCACCGGCUAACUACGUGCCAGCCGCCGCGGUAAUUC